rnacentral:misc_RNA from 1 species
UACCAGCCCAGAGAUGGUCCUACUCA